rnacentral:rRNA from 1 species
AGAGUUUGAUCAUGGCUCAGGAUGAAUGAGGCGGCAUGCCUAAUACAUGCAAGUCGAACGGGGUGCUUGCACCCAGUGGCGAACGGGUGAGUAACACGUAUCUAACCUACCUUUUAGUGGGGGAUAACAGUUGGAAACGACUGCUAAUACCGCAUACGACACCAUUAUGGCAUCAGAAGGUGUUAAAAGGCCCGUUUGGGUCGCUAGAAGAUGGGGAUGCGGCGUAUUAGCUAGUAGGUGGGGUAAUAGCCCACCUAGGCAACGAUACGUAGCCGAACUGAGAGGUUGAUCGGCCACAUUGGGACUGAGAUACGGCCCAGACUCCUACGGGAGGCAGCAGUAGGGAAUUUUUCACAAUGGACGAAAGUCUGAUGAAGCAAUGCCGCGUGAGUGACGACGGUCUUCGGAUUGUAAAGCUCUGUUGUAAGGGAAGAAAUACUAGAAGAGGAAAUGCUUUUAGUUUGACGGUACCUUACCAGAAAGCCACGGCUAACUAUGUGCCAGCAGCCGCGGUAAUACAUAGGUGGCAAGCGUUAUCCGGAUUUAUUGGGCGUAUAGGGUGCGUAGGCGGUUAGUUAAGUUUGAGGUCAAAGCCCGGGGCUCAACCCCGGUUCGCCUUGAAAACUGGCUGACUAGAAUACAGGAGAGGUAGAUGGAAUUCCAUGUGUAGCGGUGAAAUGCGUAGAUAUAUGGAGGAACACCAGUGGCGUAGGCGGUCUACUGGCCUGUUAUUGACGCUGAGGCACGAAAGCGUGGGGAGCAAAUAGGAUUAGAUACCCUAGUAGUCCACGCCGUAAACGUUGAGUACUAAGUGUCGGCAUUAUGUCGGUGCUGCAGCUAACGCAUUAAGUACUCCGCCUGAGUAGUAUGCUCGCAAGAGUGAAACUCAAAGGAAUUGACGGGGACCCGCACAAGUGGUGGAGCAUGUGGUUUAAUUCGAAGCAACGCGAAGAACCUUACCAGGGCUUGACAUCCAGUGCAAGCUACUGAGAUGUAGUGGAGGUUAACAUUGAGACAGGUGGUGCAUGGUUGUCGUCAGCUCGUGCCGUGAGUGUGGGUUAGUCCCGCACGAGCGCAUCCUAUCAUAGUACUACAUCAGGUGAGCACUCUACGAGACUGCCUAGUAGCUAGAGAGUGUAUGACGUCAUCAUCAUGCCCCCUAUGUCCUGGGCCUAU